CCUACGGGUGGCAGCAGUGAGGAAUAUUGGUCAAUGGGCGCUAGCCUGAACCAGCCAAGUAGCGUGAAGGAUGAAUGCCCUAUGGGUUGUAACCUUCUUUUAUAUGGGAAUACAGUGCAGUAUGUAUACUGCUUUGCAUGUACCUUAUGCAUAAGGAUCGGCUAACUCCAUGCCAGCAGCCGCGGUAAUAAGUAGGAGCCGAUCGUGAUCCGUAUGUAUUGGGUUUAAAGGGAGCGUAGGCGGGUUGUUAAUGCAGUUGUGAAAGUUUGCGGCUCAACCGUAAAAGUGCAGUUGAUACUGGCAUCCUUGAGUACAGUAGAGGUAGGCGGAAUUCGUGGUGUAGCGGUGAAAUGCUUAG
rnacentral:rRNA from 1 species